AUAUCUAGGUGGAGAAACAUCAGAGGAGUGUUAGCACAUUGAUUCUGUGAGAUAAACAUACAAGAUGCGGUGGUUAGGCCUGAGCAUCUUGUUGGUCGUAGCCACCCUCUCAUGGGCUACACAGGAGUGCAAGAACAAACCAACGUGUUCAGAAUGUAUUCAGACACCCAACUGCAUGUGGUGUGGGAAACCUGGGAAUUUCACAAAUGAGAAUGGCAAAGGACUAUCAAGGUGCAUCAAGCGAACUGACGAAUUAGCUACUGAGUGGCGUGCACAGUGCGGCAGUCUGUACAUCGAUGAACCUGGCAACUACUAUGAAAAUAUUGUGAACAAUGACCUGACAGCUGCAGGUGUACUGGCAGGUGGAAGUGCCAGUGCCAGUGGUGUAAGCAUUAGUGGCAGCAGUUCUGAAGAAGCUGUCGUGCAAAUCAAACCUCAAAGAGUACAGAUGAAGCUGAGAGUCCAGGAAGCAUACAACAUGCAAGUCACUUUCAGACAAGCAGAGGAUUACCCUGUUGACCUUUAUUAUCUCAUGGACUUGUCUAAGUCUAUGGAGGAUGACAAAGAGUCACUCUCCAAGCUGGGAAUCCAAUUAGCUGAUGAGAUGCAAAAAAUCACAAGGAAUUUCAAACUUGGCUUUGGUUCCUUUGUGGACAAAGUUGUAAUGCCUUACGUCAGCACUGUUCCUGAGAGACUUCUUCAUCCAUGCACCAACUGUACUGCUCCAUAUGGCUUCAGGAAUGCCCUGCCUCUCACCACAAAUGCCACUGCUUUUGCUUAUGAAGUACAGGAGGCACCAGUGUCGGGUAACCUUGAUGCUCCAGAGGGUGGAUUUGAUGCCAUUAUGCAAGCCAUCGUCUGUCAGGACCAGAUUAGGUGGAGGUCAGAAGCCCGUCGCCUUUUGGUCUUCUCAACAGAUGCUGGUUUUCAUUAUGCAGGAGAUGGCAAGCUUGGUGGCAUUGUGAAACCCAAUGACGGAGAGUGCCACCUCAAUAACAAGGGAGAGUACACUCACUCUACUCUUCAGGAUUAUCCUUCCGUCUCACAGAUUAAUCAAGUAGCUAAGCAACACAAGAUGAACUUAAUCUUCGCUGUGACGCAAGAGCAGUCGUCUGUGUACUCUCGUCUUUCCCAAAUGAUUGAAGGUUCCGGCCAAGGAGAACUCACAGCUAAUUCCUCCAAUGUAGUUGAGCUGGUCAAGGCUGAAUAUAAUAAAAUUACCAGCAAAGUUGAGCUGAAGGACAAUGCGACGGCCCCAGUCAACAUCCGCUACUUCUCAAAGUGCAAGGACGGCACAGAGAGGGAGACCUCGGUGUGCCAGGGACUGAAAGUUGGCGACCAGGUGGAAUUUAAAAUUGAAGUUACCGUCGAGAAGUGUCCUGAGAACCGUGAGGAUUGGAGGCAGCUCAUUGGCAUUUAUCCAGUCGGUUUGAGAGAGAACCUCACCAUCGAUCUCACAAUGCUCUGUGAUUGUCAGUGCGAACGCCCUGGUGACCCUGGCUACAUAAUUGGAGCUGAGCAGUGCAACUUCCACGGCACAUACCAGUGUGGAGUUUGCAAGUGUGACGAUGGCUUCUUUGGGAGCAACUGUGAGUGUGGCUCAAACACACCCUGGGCAACGGGUGACUAUGAUGACUCAAGCUGCCGAGAGACCAACACAUCAGCCAUAUGCAGCGGCCGAGGCACCUGCACUUGUGGAGAAUGCAAGUGUAAUGAGAGAGAUCAUUCUGAAGAGAUUGUAAGUGGAAAAUUCUGCGAAUGCACCAACUUCCUCUGUGAUCGUCACAAUGGACUUCUGUGUUCAGGACUUGAUCAUGGUGAAUGCAUCUGCAAUGAAUGCAAAUGCAAGCCAGGUUGGACUGGAGAGGCCUGUAAUUGUGAAGACAGUGAAAGCAAUUGUGUAAACCCUGAUACUGGAGACAUUUGUUCAAACCAAGGAAAAUGUGAGUGUAACCAGUGCAAGUGUUAUGAGACAGCUGAUGGCAGAUAUUCGGGCAAAUGGUGUGAGGACUGUCCGACAUGCAAGGGCAAAUGCAUUGCAUACAAGGCGUGUGUACAGUGCCAGGUGUUUGAGACUGGUGAAUUCAACGUCGAGGAGUGCAAAGCCAACUGUACUACUUUCAACUCCACACCUGUACCAGUAGCUGAAGCUGUGUGGCACUGACUUCAAGUGCCUGGACUUUAAGGAGUGUGUACAGUGUCGUGUUUACGAGACGGGCCCUUUAGCAGAAGAUCCAGUGCUCUGUGAUAGCUGCUCCCUCCUCUACAGCACCAUUACUGACCGAGCCAUUGCCAACUAUACUAUUAAUGUUACUAACUGGGUUGAAGUGGAAAAUGAAGGAGAGCGUCUGUGCACCUUCUUUGACGAGAAUGAUUGCCGUUUCACCUUUGUUUAUGGAUAUGACGAGAAUAAGGAACCUGUUGUACGUGUGCAGCAGACACUGGAAUGCCCUCCAAAAUUAGACAUCCUUGGAAUUGUAUUGGGUGUCAUUGGAGCUAUUGUCGCUGUCGGAUUGGCGUUGCUAAUAAUGUGGAAGGUUCUGACAACUAUCCAUGACAGAAGGGAGUUCGCACGCUUCGAGAAAGAACGCAUGAUGGCCAAGUGGGAUACUGGCGAGAAUCCCAUCUACAAGCAGGCCACAUCAACGUUUAAGAACCCCAUGUAUGGUGGUGGCAAGUAAAAAGCCACUGAGCUAUGAUCUCAUCGCUAGGUUUGAAUCUCUGCUGAGAGGUGUAAUCUGAAUUAGAGUAAUGAAGAUGGUUGGUAGUAGUCUUGUCAGCAAACUAUAUUGAACAAUCAAUAGCUCUUUAUUUUAAGAUGUGUUCACAAUGCAUUUUAAUUUAGGUUCUCUUUGUAUCUAAUUCUUUUCAUAUCCUUUAUUUUAUUUUACUUUUUUUUUUUACUUGUUAUUAAUAUGAUGCUUGUAGUUAUAUGCUUCUUUGAGUAUGUAACUGUAACAAUAAUAGUAUUGGUAGAAUAGACUUGCUGGAUAAUCCAGUGUUAAUGUGCCAAUUUUUAGUGAAUGUUUCUUUCAAAAUAAUGUGUAUUAAAUGUGUACAUAGUUCAUAGUUGGUGCUGUCACCUCUUAAAUCUUCUUAUAUAGUUUCUUCAUAUACUAAAUCCUUGCAGGGUUAAGCCCGUUUAUUUUAAUGACUUUAAAACUUUUAUUGUACGGAGUUCCACAUUUAUCAAGUUGGAACCUGUUGAAAGCUUUACUAAUCUGUUAAAUAUUUACCAAAAAAAAAAAGUCUUCAUACACCAAGUAAGAAAGUGUGCUCCAUUUUUAAAUGAUAAAUCUAAAUCAUUGCUGUUUUCCCUUCCAUUGUAGUGCCUUUUGCAUUUAUCAUUAUCAGUCUUCACUUAAAAGUGCCUAACAAAACUUUUACUUUUUAUAGUUUAGUAAUUUAUUAGAAAACAUGUCGUAUAGGUUCAUAGAAAAUACAAUAUGAAUAUAUAUCCUUCUGCAAUGCUAAAACCAAAGUUUUAAGACAAUGUAAAAGUCUGGAGAUUGUGGCCACAUUGCAGGCAGCUACUUGGUAUUAAGUUUUAAAAUGUGCAAAUCACAAAUAAUUGUAAUAAUUGUUCAAAAUGAUCUUGUAGAAUAUAGGAGCAAAUAUUAAGGGUCUGUAUGGUAACACUGUACAAUUAUUUAAUAAAAUGAAAAUAAGUUUUUUUUUUUUUUUUUUCUUGGUUGAUUAAAUAUGCAAAACACACUUUCCAAUUUGUUCAUAGAAAAAAAAGGUAAGCGCAGUAUGUAGAUAUUAAGGAUUAGCAAACUGCGUAGAUCUAAUGAGUAAGAUAUUUUACUUUCUUCUUUGGUUACUGUAAUUAUUAAAUAUAUGCUUCCUGUAAAAUGGAGGGAGAAAUAUAUUUAUAUGUAUUUCUGGGUUAACUCGCAAAUUUGAAUUACUUAUGAAAGACUAAAUAACACAAAAUUCUAACAUUGUAAAACAUGUUUAACUAUUCAAAAGAUCUGAUAAGUUUUAGUCUUGUGUACAUUGGUUUUAAUAAAACUCAGUGAAUUUUAA
rnacentral:misc_RNA from 1 species